rnacentral:rRNA from 1 species
GGGCACUCUAAUGAGACUGCCGGUGACAAACCGGAGAAGGUGGGGAUGACGUCAAGUCCUCAUGGCCCUUAUGGGUAGGGCUUCACACGUCAUACAAUGGUCGGUACAGAGGGUUGCCAAGCCGCGAGGUGGAGCCAAUCCCUUAAAGCCGAUCGUAGUCCGGAUCGUAGUCUGCAACUCGACUACGUGAAGUCGGAAUCGCUAGUAAUCGCAGAUCAGCAUGCUCGCGGUCCGAAUACGUUCCGGGCCUU